GAGCACUAUUCGUAACCUGCUAAUCUGGCUAUGGCUGACAUGUUCCAUUCCAGUGCUACACCAUUUCUAAUGAUGCAUGACUGACUGACUGACUGGUGGCUUUCAGUUUCAGAUUUUGGACAUAAAU
rnacentral:snoRNA from 1 species